UCUGCGCGUCGGGCAGUUCGUCCCCAUUCCCUAGUAGGCGCUUCAGCCUGGGAACUGAGCGAGGGGCUUAAUGCCUGCCCCGGAGGAAGGAGCGGGUUAAACGUCCUCGCACCCCUAACUAGCAGGCUCUUCUCCGAGGCUUGGCCCACUGGGGGCGUGAGACGGAGGAAGAGGCGAGGCCCAGGCGGAAAGGUCGAUGCUCAACCAGGGAGCCACACCGGCUGGGCUGAAUGACAUCUUGAUUGCAGCCUUCUGGGAGACCCAGAGCCAGAACGACCAUCAACUAAGCUGAUCCUAUAUUCUACAGACACUAUAAGGAGAGCUUGCUAAUUCAAGUUGAAGCAUUAACAGUCCUCCUGAAAACACUCAAGCCAAUGAGGUAACAAAGGCCCAGAAGACAAAAAUUAAGCAAAGCAAGUUAAUUCUUGAAAACUCUUACAACCCCAAUUUAAGAAAAAUAAAGAAGCAGGAAAGAAAUUAGAAAAAGGCACAUGACAGCAUAUGAGGUAUUUAUGAAAGUAUUUUUGUUUAUAUAUUUACCUUUUUUAAUAUUUAGCUUUUUUAAUUACAUGCAUUAUGUAGCUUGUACUAUGGUUUUGAAAUUGUAAAAUAUGUAUUUGUUGGGUCUGUUCUCUCAGUGCUUGGAAAUAUAAAAAAGAAACAACUCCCGCUGCUUGUUGCUUACAUGUGCAGGAUCACAAACUCAGAUGCCGCUUGGCCAGUCCCAGGGAGGGCUGUCCAAAGUGAGGGACAUGUGGCCAUGAAAGGUUCAGCUGCCUUUGGACUCCGCUGUUUGUUGCCAAGUGAAGUGCAGGGCAUUCCACAUAUUCAGAACACUGUGUUGGUUUGGGCUCUCCCAAAAGCAGGCACUGAGACAAAAAUUUGGGUGCAAAUGUCUAUUUGGGAGGGAUUGCAAGGAACUCGAUGAGGAAGUGGGGCUGUUGCCAUUUGGCAGCCAAUGAAAGGAAGGAGAGAGGUUGCCUUAUCUUUUCAAAAUAAGUAUUUUGAGGUUUUAGUUAUUAACAGUAAACAUAUUUAAGCUUCUUAGUAAUUGUUUACAGAAACAGAAAUUUUUUUCUAAUUAUGCUCUGAACCCAGAUUUAAAGUAGGCUCUUUUUCUUCCUUUUAGGCAUAGACUGUGUAGAAAUUAGAACAUUAUAUGUGGAAUGCAUGACAAGAAUCAGUUCAGGGGGAAGCAGAGUGGGUUGAGGUGGAAUAGGGCAUAGAAGGGAUAAAUGGUGUUGGGGGGAAAAUAAGGAGAAAAACAAAAUCAGUUCAGGAAAAUUUGGAGUGGGGAAAGUAAGUAGAUACUCCGAGGGAAAGGAAGGAAACCAAACCAUUCAAAUGAGGUGCACAAAGCACAUGAGAACAGAUUGGGGGGAGGUAGAUAAAACCUAAUCUCGAGCUAAUUGUAAACAAGCAAUGUAAUGUUGAGUUCUUUUGAAAUAUAAAUUUUAAAA